GUGGGUAUAGCUCGGUAGUAGAGAGCUUGCCUAACAUGUAUGAGGCCCUGGGUUCAAUCCCCAGUACCACA
rnacentral:tRNA from 1 species